UAUGUUAUCGCUAAUGUGAUUAUUUAAGGUGGUAAUUAUUUUAUUUUACCAUUUGCUAGCAACGCACGAACAAAUGUGAGUCGUUUUAUUAAUUCAACAAUUUCUUAAUCGCAAGCUUCGUCCAGUUUUACUCUCCGAAAUGCGGAACUAUUCAUUUAAUUUGGCACCAUUAGCAGGGCAUUCUGUUUCUCAGUUUAUUCGUGUUUCUGAGUCCGCUCGGCAACAUCUCUGCACACGGACAACAGGUCGGGGCAGAUUUGAAUUGUUUGAAGAUGGUUCAUUGCAAUAAACAUGCCUUAUAGUUUCGAAGUUAUGUGGAGCCACAUGAGAAGAGGUCGCUUUAAAAUAUAAAUGCAGUCGGAAGAAACACGUAUGGCCAGCUUAGCGAGAGUAACAAAAGAUGAGGCUUUGAAAGUAGCAGACUGACAGUACCAUGGCUCUAUGAUCUUUGACUAUGGCCACACGCACUACAGGCUUCCGCUUUGAAGAACAUUGUGUUGCUGGUGUCAAGUUUCCGUCAGCUGCGCACUCUGCUCUGUGAAUGGGGCCGGUUUCACCAUGGCUGCGCAUUAAAUCAGGGUUGUACCAGAUUACACCCCAAGCUGCCGAGACUCGGCACCAGAUAUAAGAACACUUACACUUAUUACCUGAAGUGUUGAAAAUGCUUCCUAUCAGAAACACAAGUAUUUAUUUUCCCUGACCAACUACACGCCGCCUCGGUUUCGCCGUGUUCACACGGUGGAGGAAGGAAGCCUCGCUGAUAAACAGGUUGUGCCGCUGGGGGACCGAACAAACUGAUGAACACUUUCGCAUCUGUUUCACAUUCAGCGACGCGGAAUAUGAAAGCGAUAUCUGGGCUGCACUAACCGACCGAGGAUCUCAGCAAAGCUCACGUGUACCCCCGAACCUGCCAGCUUUAGUUCUCUCAUCGAGAUACUUAGUUUUGAAAGGUAAUACAGUUUGACAUGCAGCACUUCUGACUAGAAGACUGUCUUCCGUUAAAGCUGGACUCUUCUCGUUCAAAUGGGCUGUUUUAAAGGCCUUUAUCUACAACGUGACACGAUAUACGCGUGGUUUAAUUACUGGGCAGUGAUCGAACAGAGAGGAGUCGUUUUUUGCACCGCUCGAAUAUAUCUUGAAAAUAAAUCGAGCGUCCCUAUUACUGUACACAGCUGGUACAGUAAUGCUCUUUGCUGAGAAUUGAUUGAUUGCAGCAAGGUACUUUAAAAAAAUAGAGGGGGGUGGGGAAGGAAACACACCGGCAAGAGAAUGAAAUGAGGUCAAAGUAAUUUACCUGCUCAGGAGGUGGGGAUGAAAUAUAACACGGAGAUGACAACAACAAAAAUCAAUUUGUAUUCAACCUAGUUCAGAGCAAAGGAUCAGAGUAAUUUAAAGGACUUCAUCUUGAAUGCGUGGCCAGUUUUAUUCGAGUAAACUCAAAAGGAAUAGGAUUAGAUGAAAUAAUUUAUGCUCGCCUGGCGCUGUCGUGCUGGGGUGACACGGUUCUAUGGUGGUUCCAAUAAAGAGUGAUGUUGGUGAGGUGGAGGUUGUUAAGGAACGCGUGUUGGGUUUUUUUAGGAGUCAAGAAAGAAGUGGAUUGUUGAUUGUUGUCUGCGAGACAUUGAGCAAUGUUUUUGAUAAGAUCCACAUGGCGGUCUGGUCAACAGAGUACAGCCCACGAUUCAAGGGCGAUUCAAGGGCACGGUGGGUGGAAAUCAAUGCUUGGUUAUUGCUGUGACUGGAUCUAACUAGUGCUCCCUCCAAGCGUUAAGUACUCGGCUAUUUGCUUGUUACAACAUGCAUCACUGAUUUAAAUCCAAAUGUUGGGGCAUCGUCAAUAAGUUUAGAAGUAACACAGUUUAGUUAAAAGCGAGGAAGGUAGGUGUGCGCUGCAGGAGAGUUGAUCCGGAGAUUUAGGCAGAAAAGUAGACAUUUUAAUUUAAUCCCGAGGGAGACGAGAGGAUGUGGUAGGAACAGCGGACCUGGGCCCUCUCACAAAAUAUGUAUCUAAAAGAGUAAUUGAAUCGCCAAUGCUUAAGGCUACAGAUCAAAUGCUGUAACGCAAAUCCGUAUAUAUAGGUAAUUGAUGAUCAGCAUUGACAUAAUGGGCCGAAGGGCACAGUUCUAUGUUGCAUCACUCCACGGUCCUAUCUACAUAAGGAAUAAGUGAGGUUAUGGCUCGACCUGAAAUGUCACCUAUUCAUUUUUUCCAGAGAUGCUACCUGACCCGCUGAGUUAUUCCAGCUUUUUGUGUUUAUCUUCGGUGUAAACCAGCAUCUGCAGUUCCUUUCUAUACAUUCUAUGUACAAUACAGGCUUAACGGUGCAGAAUCUAAUAGCUGGGAGUUAUGCCAGAACUUUGUUAGAACUUCGGUCCGAAGUCCGUGUGUAACUUUCACAAGCAAACAUAAGAUGUCGCUGGGAAUGAAUAUCCUUCCAAUAAUUCCCCCAGCAUCUGGAAACACAUUGGUUUCUUCCGGAGAUAAAAUGGUUUCUUCUCAAUGACCACAAUUAGUCGCCGAUACAGAAGUAUGCGGCCACAGUUCCGCGUUCAGUUAAUGACCUUCGAUCUAGAAAGGAAAGUUUUAUUGAGCCUGACAGUAACUGUCGUGUCAUCAGCUGCGAUGAAAUGUCACACAUGUCACAUUUGCUCUCUCUCUCCGCAGAUGCUGGCCGGACAGAGGAGUUGCAGAAUUUUCUGUUUUCGCUGGUGUUCUCGGUAACAUGCAGUCUCACUGUCCAGGGAGGCCCGUACUGUUCCACGCCGGGUCCGCUGCCUGUCUCGGUGAGGGCCGAUCGCGGUUUGGGCAGAAUUUCAAUCCGAUCGCUUCCAGAGAGCGGAUUAAACACUUCCGAUUUUGGAAUGCAGCACU